UGAGUAACACGUAUCCAACCUGCCGUCUACUCUUGGCCAGCCUUCUGAAAGGAAGAUUAAUCCAGGAUGGCAUCAUGAGUUCACAUGUCCGCAUGAUUAAAGGUAUUUUCCGGUAGACGAUGGGGAUGCGUUCCAUUAGAUAGCAGGCGGGGUAACGGCCCACCUAGUCAACGAUGGAUAGGGGUUCUGAGAGGAAGGUCCCCCACAUUGGAACUGAGACACGGUCCAA
rnacentral:rRNA from 1 species